GACAGAGGGUGCAAACGUUGCUCGGAAUUACUGGGCGUAAAGCGCGUGUAGGUGGUCACGCAAGUCAGGUGUGAAAGCCCAGGGCUCAACCCUGGAAGUGCACAUGAUACUACGUGGCUGGAGUACUGAAGAGGAGAGCGGAAUUCCCGGUGUAGAGGUGAAAUUCGUAGAUAUCGGGAGGAACACCAGUGGCGAAGGCGGCUCUCUGGGCAGAUACUGACACUGAGACGCGAAAGCGUGGGGAGCAAACAGG
rnacentral:rRNA from 1 species